rnacentral:rRNA from 1 species
AGAAAGCCACUCAUCUCCCUCAUGCUACUCGUUUCGUGGGAAAUUUGGAAGGAACGGAACGUAAGGGUCUUCCGCAACUUGGCGGUGCCGGUUGGUGUUAUUGUUGCUAGGAUCAAAGAAGAGUGUAAUCUGUGGUGUCUCGCUGAAGCGAAGCAUAUGUGUAAUUCAAUGCCGCGAGAUUGA